CAGCGGGAGAAAUGAAUCAACGAAUAAACAUCUGUCUUCAGUUUCUGUGGUGUAGCAAAUAUUUGAUAUCAUUCCUGCUAUUUAUUGAACCAUGGCAUCAAAUACACGAAGAAGUGACUGAGAUACAAAUAGCUGUUACUAAGCUUAUAUUUAACAUGACGCCAGUUGGUAAGCCCGUGCCUCUAAAACUGGACCUGAUGUUCAAACAACUCCUUCUAAACAAGCCAACUAUAUCGCCUUUACGAAUGUUUUCAGUCCAGCGAUCA